UGCUCAAUGCUUAACCCUUUCCGAUUUCUGAAUUCGGAGAAUCGAGAUUAACACAAAGCAAAGGAGCUUAAUCAUCUUUUCGUCUCUGCUAUUUUUCCCUUCAAGAUCAUUUAGUUGGGAUGUAACAUAUCCGAUCAACUAGGAGAUGAUGCUGAUUACGUGGCAGAUGAAUUUGAAAUUGAAGAACUAGAUGAUUUAUUGAUGAGUUCGAAGGCAUAGACUUCGAUGGCUUUGAUUCAGAUGCAGAUGAGCUGCAAGGCAUAGACUUAGGUGGCUUUGAUUCAGAUAUAGAUGAAUUGCAAGGCAUAGAUUUAGGUGGCUUUGAUUUGGAUGUAGAUGAGUUGCAAGGCAGAGACUUGGGUGGCUUUGAUUCGGAUGUGGAUGAGAAUGACGACAUGAAUAAUAGAACACAAGAUACUUCGGCUUCUGAGGCAAGGAGUGCCAAAGACAUUCAAGAGAUCCCCUGAGAAAGGCUUAGCAUAACCAGGGAGAAAUAUAGGCAAACAAGACUAGAACGGUAUAAGAACUAUGAAAGUAUUCCUCAAUCUAUUGAGACAUCAAAGAAGGAAUACAAAAUCACAAAGAAAGAGGGCUUAUACUAUGAUUUCAGACGUAAUUCAAGAUCUGUUAAAUCAAUGAUCUUUCACUUUCAGGUUGAGAUCGAGUGUCACAUUCCGACACAUAUUUGAAUCGGGUGUCACGUUCCGACAUAAAUCUUGGAUCGUGUGUCACGUUCCGACGCAAGUUAAGUGUGGCAGGUCCCAUGAGAGGACCCUUAUGUGAAUUUGUAUGAUAUUGAGGUUAUUGAACUUUGAUCUUGCUGAGUACUGUUUGAGAUGAAAAUGGUAAAGUCAUUCUAUAUAUAUGUGCCUAUUAUGUUGAGUUUACUUGUCCAUGAUCCGCUUAUUGGCUAGUCGCGUGAUCCUACCAGUACACUGUUGAUUUUGUGUAAUGAUACUACACUUGCUCUGUCUUUGUUGAGUACAGGGCAUAUUCAUCCGGCUGCGGAGAGACCUCGCUUAGAGGAGUGACACUUGUUCGAAUUCAAGGGUGAGUUGUUUUCUUUCAAUCUACCGUGGACUCUCUUAUUUCUAGUCCUUCUUUCGGGACUUAGAUGUUCAGACAAUGGUUUAUUCAUUAAAGAUUUUCUGUUGGGAGUAACACUCCCUUUCUAGACUUGUUAGUUUUAGAAUUUUGAGUACAAUGACUUUCAGUUCCUAGGAUAUUUUCGCAUGUUGAGAUUGUUGACUAGAUUGUUUUUUGAGUUUAUGGGAACUCAAUAUUUUCUAUUCAUUUAAACUUGCUUCUGCAUCUUUAACUUGUUUAUAUAUCACAAGUGUUGCUACCUUGGGCUGUAAAAAUGGUUCUCCCACUAGAGGGUUAGUAGAGGUACCAGUCACUGCGGGUCGGAGUCGUGACAAAGUUUGUUUCAGAUUCCUAAAUUUGUUGAUCUCGUCGUACCAAAACGAGUCUAGUAGAGUCUCAUAGAACGAUAUGGAGACGUCUGUACUUUUCUUCGAGAGGCUAUAAGACUUUAGGAAAAGUUUCUCUAUUUUUUUUCCUUAGUGCUAUAACUUGAUUCUAAUUGGUAUCUAACUUCUUUCAUUCUCUUGUUCGCAAAUGGUUAAUACUCGCUAUAAUGGUGUUCGGCCCAUAGUUCCAGUGAAGACAAAGGAAGAGGCAGUCGUUCGAGGGCGAGGUAGAGGUAGAGACAAGAGAGGGAGAAGCGAUAGGGGCAGAGGGAGAGCAGCAAUAAAUUUCUCCGAAAAAACCAUAAAGCUACAAAGCUUUUUCGAAAGAAAAAACCACCAAGGAUGCAAUAGAUUUCUCCGAAAAGAUAUCUGAAGAUGAAGCAAUAAAGGUGCAUGGGUUGCAGGCGAAAAUGGUACUAAUAGGGUGUCUACUAUGUAAUUCCAUGAUAAAGAUGCAGAAACCACAAAGGUGCAUAGUUUGUAUGAAGGUGGGAUUAAUGGGGUUCAGUAGUAAGUAGGGUGAAAUAUUUGCAGGAGUCAUAGAUAUCCAGGGGAGCAUGCAUGAACGAUAAAUGACAUGCUGGUGUGACCACCAAAAAUUUAAAUGGCCCAACUUUGGAUCAUACACCUACAUACAUGUAAGGUCCAAAAUAAUGACAAUGCACCCACAGCUUGCACUCAUAUUUGAGAAAUUUCCACGGUGACACAUAGUAAUAGCUCUUCA